GGUCGGUUAGCUCAGUUGGUUAGAGCGUGGUGCUAAUAUCAUCCGAUGUCCUCCGAUAUCAUGCGAUACGUGGCACGCCAAGGUCGCGGGUUCGACCCCCGUACUGACCA
rnacentral:tRNA from 1 species